rnacentral:rRNA from 1 species
UACGAAGGGGGCGAGCGUUGUUCGGAAUUACUGGGCGUAAAGCGUGUGUAGGCGGUUUGAUAAGUUUGAUGUGAAAGCCCAGGGCUCAACCUUGGAACUGCAUUGAAUACUAUCUGACUAGAGUGGUGGAGAGGAGAGCAGAAUUCCCAGUGUAGAGGUGAAAUUCGUAGAGAUUGGGAGGAAUACCAGUGGCGCAGGCGGCUCUCUGGACACACACUGACGCUGAGACACGAUAGCGUGGGGAGCAAACAGGAUUAGAAACCCCGGUAGU